AUACGUUUGGUGCGGGAUUUCAAUGGUCGGCGUGACCUUCUGUCAUGCUGAAGUUUCCGUUGUGAAUAUCUAUUGUUUGGGACGUGGACAGUGCACAUAGACCUGUUUCAGAUCCAGCCUUCAAAAGCUUAUCAAGGUAGAAGAGGUUUUCAAGUACACAAGCGUGAAUUGAUUUAGAGACCUAUCUCACAUAAACACCGGACGGUACCUGAGGAGCUGCCCCGGGGGUACAGACUGUGAACACGUUUCCAUCAAUACCCGCCUCGGGAAUCAGUUGCUUCAUCGCGUGUGACGUAACUCUUCACCAAACAGCCGCCGACAGAAAGCAAUCCUUUAAAGAAGGACAACACCAAAAGGACAACAACAGGACAACAGAAGGAUAACAACAGAAGGAUACCAACAGAAGGACAACAACAGAACGAUAACAACUUGAGGAUAUUGGCUGCUUGAAGCAACAGCGAGAAAACUAAGCAUUUGAUCAGUCGCGGUGACGUGUGGAAUAUUGAACAAAGCGUAGUAAAAUCCCUACCCUAACAUGUGUCCCAAAAUCAUCGGCUUCCGAUAAGAUAUUGUUUGUUUGUUGUUUAACGUUUGUUCAGCAAUAUUUCAGCAAUAGAAUGACGGUAUGUAAAUGAUCGAGUAUGGACCAGACAAUUCAGUUAUGGUUAUCAUACGCAUUGAUCCAUGCAAUUGGGACGAUGACAUGCAUCAACCAGUCAGCGAGCCUGACCACCC